UCCACCGAUAUAAAAUAAUGAAAAUAAAUCAUAUGGAAACAUAACAAAUGAAUCAUGUUCUAAAUCACAUAUCUACAUAAUAAUAAAAUGAAAACAAUUGCUAGAAAUAAAAUCAUUGAGUCAUGUUACACCGGAUUUAAAUUUAUUGAGUCCAAAGAAUUCUAAGACCACGACUGCACAUCAUCACCCAUCAACCAACAACUCGUUCUAACCUACGAGAGGUAGGGAAAAAAGGUGAGUACAUUGAAAUACUCAUAGGACACAAAAAAUCAUGGUGCGGUCCCAAAUAAAAAUAUAUAAUUACAUUAAAUGUAUCAAAAUAUCAUACCGUCAUCAUAUCUUUAGAAACUAGUAAGAGCUCAAUAAAUAUCAUAUCUUUAGUAUCGGAUAACCAUAAUGUAAAUAUCAUAUCAUACCUUUAAACUUUCAUAAGCACAAUAAUUCAACAAUAUGAAAAUAAACAAUUUAAACUGAAUAAAACAAUUGCACCUCGUUAUCCUACGUUGUCGGAUCAAAUGAACUUUUGAGGAUACAAAACCAAAAAUCACGUUCCAGUUUUAUUUUUAGUGUGCUACCAUGUUUAUAAAAUUAUUUUUGUGGUGAAAGAAAUUGGACUUUUUCCAUGGAGAAAUUGGUUACAUAAAUGGAUAAAUAAAUAUAGGAGUAUCCUAUAGAAAGUGAAAGUUCAAUUUACCCAAAACUUGUAUCCAAGUCAAAUAAAAUAAUCUACUUUGACUCAAUUCCAACAACUCCUACACGUGGCUCCAUAAGUUAUUAAAACAUAUAAUUUAUUUUAAAGCACAACAAAAAGUAAUAUAAGAUCAUAUCAAAAUAUUUCAUCAAUCCUAAGAAUGCAACACGUCGAGCCCAUGGGAAGUUUGAUUAAUAACUAAACCGAAUGCAUUAUCAUAUCAAAGUAAAAUCUUUCAACUUUAAUAAUUUGGGCUUCGGUUAUUCGAACUAACUUUUUCUCGAGUCUAAAAUGCAUGAUUUAAUACGAUCUAUCCAACGAGUCCUAUAUUGAUAUAUUUAUCAUCGCUCUAUCAAAAUCUAGACAUUUGGCCCAAAUAAAAUUGAAUUAAUACAUAUAUCACUUUAUUCUCCCCAAUUUUCCAAAAUAUAAAAUAUGGCCUCUGAAAUAAUUAAAGUAUAUUCUAUAAAAUUUUCAGAACGUUAUAGUUAUUCUAAUAAACAAAAUCCAGCUUUACAAAGAAGUCUAACAACCUACACAAAUUUGGUUGUUAUCCUAUCAAUAAUAUCAGUCAUACUAACGUACACUAACACCCCUGGCAAACUGAUGGGUAGCAUGCAAAUCAUUAGUUUAGAACUCAAGAACUAAAGUCAUGAGGCUGUAUGCCCUCUAGAAACACCUUAGGAACUUAGUCUUUUGUAGAANUUGAUCGGAUCAUAUUGACGAAGGGAUUAUAGUUUCACGGUAAACGAACGAAUUUGGUUUUGUCAUACCACGUGACAUUUCCCGUCACAUGUAUUGCCCUGACACAUUGCUAGAUGUCAAUCAGGGACGGCGAAUGUGAAUUGACGAUAAAUUAAAAGGGUGUUUUAAUUUAUCAAUUUUGAUUAGAUCAAAAUAAUAUUUCACGUCGUUAGGCAUCGUGGUCGGGAACCUAAUGGGUCACACACAAAAGAGAAUUGGAAGAUUGCAAAUUGCCAAUUGAUUAAUUUAACAAUCGUUGGAUAAAUUAAUUAAUUGGAUUUGUUAUUUAUAUUUUCGAAUUAAUUAAUUGGAUUAAUUAAUUCACGGACCGGGUUUAAUUAAUUGGAUUAAUUAAUUAUUGGACCGGACCGG
rnacentral:lncRNA from 1 species